UGCUACUAACUAAGGAUAGAGUCGAUAUUGAAUGGAAUUAGACGGCAACACACUUGAAACAAAAGGAGAAAGUCAGUUGGAACUAAAAUUGCAGUUUAUAGUGUCAUGCCCCAUAGCAUCAUGGUAAUAUGCAUGUCGUUUUCUCAAUUCGUGUUUGGGUUGCAGAGCCAAUACACUACACGUAAGAUUGGUUAUCAUCUGUUUAAUAGAUGACUUCUAUAAAUGGUUGGUUUAUAACUAACUCCAAAAUAAUAAUGUCUUGAUUCGUGACGGUGAUUUGAGCAAAUUUGUUCAAAAUUUUAAUUUAAAAAAAAAAAGGAUGACCACCAAUAAAUGCUAAAUUGGACUUGGAUGAUAAGAAAAUCCAAACGCAUAGUAUCAAUUGUGCUGGCGAUCUAAAAGAUGAAGCGCAAUUUGUUGAAUAUAAGGGAUUCCAUGUUCCUUGUCAAUGUUCCUAGGAUUAUUGUGAUUGCUAAUUAGAUUUCCAGCUUACCUGUGGUACCGUCUCGGACUCAAAGACGACCAAAGAUCGUCACCCAGUGGCCACGCGUCCACUCAGGUGAUGAAAGAGACACAUUGAUAGGUGACGCAGUUAUGGGAUGAAUUGGCAGUCCAACAAGAAAUAUCUCAAAUCGGCAAAUCCCACCUCCUCGCCACCCGCCGCCCUUCUCCGGGCCCACGAUGCAAUUCAAUACCCAGAGGUUUUUUUUUUUAUAAUCUGAAUUUAUUUAUGCUCUGUUCUCCGCUCCGCUGCCAUGGUAGACGUAACUGUACUGGUGCAGUUGCUAUGGAACUUGGAAGCAUCAACCGGGGAAAGUGGCGAAUUCCAGAGCCCCCCAAGGCAAGGCCUGGGUCGUUUUCUACUGACAAGAAAAUGAAAUGAAACUAAUCCCCCGGGGGUGCCGUGCAAUCCUCAAUAGUAAAAAAAAUUAGGAGCAGGUAAUUCAAUCAGGCAUGGUUGAAUUGAAUCUUUUAUAGUUGCUUCAGAAAAAAAUUUUCUAUUAUACCUAAACUGUGUAAUUUCGUCAUCAAACUCUGGUUGAUGGAGAUAUUUUGUCCCUCGAUUUGACAAGAGAGCUAAGUGUUAAUUUUGAAACCAUAUCAAUAUGGGGGUGUUAGGUGAGAUUAGGCCCAACCUCAGGAGAGGAGAGGUUUCUGAAAUUAUCCCUUUUAUUCAAUAUUGGAAUAUACUACUAUAUGUUCAGCUUGACAACAUAUUAAUGCUUUUCUAGCAUUAAUGAUCCUGAAGAAUUAGCUGCUAACCUGCUGAAGAAUUAUGUGACCAAAUUAUGGAAAAAAUAAUACUAAUAGUAAUAAAGUAGUAGAGAUUUGCGUUGACCGGGUUGAUGCGUUGCCACUUGCCACCACCAAUGCAGACCCAUAUCAAAUUUCUGUAAAUUGGGUUCGGAAUAAUGUUACGAUAACAGAAAAAGGAAACCGCUAACAACAAACGACAGAAGACGGACGCCCAAUAAGUUUGCAAGUCUUCGAAUUUAUUUUGAUUUAAUUUAUUAGUCUCCCCAUUAACUACGUCCAAUACCUCUUCAUUUCACCUGCCCACCACUCACUAGUACUCUCUCGAGCAACUCCUUCCCACCGAGCUACCUACGACUAUAAAUAGCGCACUCGAACGAAAACAAAAUUCCUCAUCGAAGUUGCUUAGAACCUGAACCAAAAUCCUCCUCGUCUUCUUGACCUCCUCCUCAUCUUCUUAAGCAGUAGUGUGUCCUAGUAGCAGUACUACUUGAUCAGUACUGUAUACAUGGCAUCAUCAUCUCCGACAUCCAGUUCUGCGUCAAUGAUAGCUGAUGGGGCUUCUUGGUUCUGUGCAGCGGUGAUAGUGGCCCUCAUACUCGUGAGCGCGGUCAAGGAGGAUUCUGUCCCCUACGAGCCGGUCAGAGGAAACCUGCAGCUCCUUAACAGGGCCUGUGACGAGAUAUAUGUUGUAGGAGAAGGGGAAACCUUGCACACCAUCAGCGACAAGUGUGGUGACCCUUUCAUCGUGGAGCAGAACCCACAUAUCCAUGAUCCCGACGAUGUUUUUCCUGGCCUUGUUAUAAAG
rnacentral:lncRNA from 1 species